GGUGGCAUCGCCAAGCGGUAAGGCAGGAGCCUGCAAAGCUCCCAUCCCCCAGUUCGAAUCUGGGUGCCACCU
rnacentral:tRNA from 1 species